UUUCUUUUGAUUUUGGAGAAAUAAAGGCAAGAAAAUCGUUUAUACAUGUUUGUGAAAGCUUAUAAGUGAGUUAAUACUAAUAAUUAUUAGUUUAUAUCAGGAUGAGGAAUUUUAAAAGUUUAUUAUCCUAAGACAUAAAGCUUAAGCCACGUCUCUACUGUAACAAAGAGGGAUAUAUACAGCAGUAAAGAAUACUAUACAAUUAAUUUAAAUUAGAUAUGGGGGUUUUCUUAAAUUUUGUCUAAUCAAGUGCCAGCAGACGCGGUUAAACUUGAAAAAUAAGUCUUUAUUAUAAAAAAGGUUUUUAUGUGUAGAAUGUAUAUUUAUUACAACUUUAAUGUUUUUGAAUCGGUUAAAUGAACAAAAAUUUUUCAUUUAAAAAACAAGAUUAUUUGUAGAAUAAUUUCAAACAUGAAAGAAGAGGAAUCAAAUAGGAUUAGAUACCCUAGUAGACUCUUUUGUAAAUGAAUAAUAAUUUUACCUGAACAGUACGCUUUUAAGAGUGAAAAUCAAAAAUUUUGGCUGUUUAUCUUCUAAUUAGAGGAAUAUGUAAUUUAAUUCGAUAAUCCACGAAAAAUCUUACCUAAUCUUGAAAUUCAGGUACUGCAUGGUCGUCGUCAAUUUAAUUUUAUAGAUUAAAUUCAAUUCAAAAUUGAAUGAAGUCAGAUAUUAUGGUCCUAAUGAUUAGGGAUAUUAUGUAUUACAAUAUUUAUAGAUUUAAAUUUGGAGUAAAACUGAAAUGUUUUAUGAAAGAGAAUUUAAUAGUAAUCAAAAAUCACAACGUUUUGAUGAAUAAGUUAAGUUAUGAGUACAAAUUGCCCGUCGCCUUUAUUAAUAGUUCGCUAAAAAUAGAGUAAGUCGUAACAUAGUGGGGGGAAGGGAACUUCUCCCUGUGAUUAUUUCACAU
rnacentral:rRNA from 1 species